rnacentral:rRNA from 1 species
CUGAAGCCGACAGCUUGCUGUUGGUGGAUGAGUGGCGAACGGGUGAGUAACACGUGAGUAACCUGCCCCUGAUUUCGGGAUAAGCCUGGGAAACUGGGUCUAAUACCGGAUACGACCAACCCUCGCAUGAGGGUUGGUGGAAAGUUUUUCGAUCGGGGAUGGGCUCGCGGCCUAUCAGCUUGUUGGUGGGGUAAUGGCCCACCAAGGCGACGACGGGUAGCCGGCCUGAGAGGGCGACCGGCCACACUGGGACUGAGACACGGCCCAGACUCCUACGGGAGGCAGCAGUGGGGAAUAUUGCACAAUGGGGGAAACCCUGAUGCAGCGACGCAGCGUGCGGGAUGACGGCCUUCGGGUUGUAAACCGCUUUCAGCAGGGAAGAAGCGAAAGUGACGGUACCUGCAGAAGAAGUACCGGCUAACUACGUGCCAGCAGCCGCGGUAAUACGUAGGGUACGAGCGUUGUCCGGAAUUAUUGGGCGUAAAGAGCUCGUAGGUGGUUGGUCACGUCUGCUGUGGAAACGCAACGCUUAACGUUGCGCGUGCAGUGGGUACGGGCUGACUAGAGUGCAGUAGGGGAGUCUGGAAUUCCUGGUGUAGCGGUGAAAUGCGCAGAUAUCAGGAGGAACACCGGUGGCGAAGGCGGGACUCUGGGCUGUAACUGACACUGAGGAGCGAAAGCAUGGGGAGCGAACAGGAUUAGAUACCCUGGUAGUCCAUGCCGUAAACGUUGGGCACUAGGUGUGGGGGACAUUCCACGUUCUCCGCGCCGUAGCUAACGCAUUAAG